UACGAAGGGUGCAAGCGUUACUCGGAAUUACUGGGCGUAAAGCGUGCGUAGGUGGUUUGUUAAGUCUGUCGUGAAAGCCCCGGGCUCAACCUGGGAAUGGCAAUGGAUACUGGCAAGCUAGAGUGCGGUAGAGGGUAGUGGAAUUCCCGGUGUAGCGGUGAAAUGCGUAGAGAUCGGGAGGAACACCAGUGGCGAAGGCGGCUACCUGGACCAGCACUGACACUGAGGCACGAAAGCGUGGGGAGCAAACAGG
rnacentral:rRNA from 1 species